AAAUAGAAAAAGCAAUUUUUAAUCUGUCGUUGAUAUAAUUUUUAAGGACAAUUCGUAAAUGUUUGAAUCGUGGAUUAAAAACAAGCGUCGGUUGGAUCCUAUUUCAGCGAAAUACAUUAUAGUUAAUUACUCUUUUAUAGCUUUCUCUUCCGCUAACAACGGACACCUUUUAUUUUUUAUCGUAGCCUAGCUUUUUCUCAUUUGGUCGACUUAUUGAAACAUUUGUUUCCUUUCGUUAAACAUCACUCCCUUAAUUAUUAUAUGUUUCCGAGUAAGAGUCUGAUAGGUUUGAAAAGUUCACGACGAAUCGAUACGUAGCUUGGUGAUGUACAAAAUCGAUUUGGGAGCCAAUUAAUUCAUUGAAAAUUAUUAAUUUAGUAUGAACGCGUUUCGCAUAAUGAAAGGAUAGGUUUCUGGGAAUGGCGGUGCAACAUACGACUCGUGUCGCAAUUAAAAUCAAUCGACAAUGAUUAGAAGAUGUUCGUGACACUGACGAAUUUUCUUAUCCUCUAAGAAUCAUCUCUCUUAUCUAUUGAUAAUUAUGCAUUUGAAUUGAAAGCAAAUACCACGAUGUCUAACGAUGUUAUUUCAUUUAAUGUAAUUCUAUAGCUUUUUUAUAUUUCCUAGUUUGAAAGAAUAAAAGAAAAGAGAAGAAAAGCUUAAUGCUUCUGAAGGGUUACAGAUAAAUUGCAACGCAAUAGAGAAUUUAUUCCCUUCAUGUCGCAUACACAUUUUUAGUAUAGUCGUUAAUACCUCGUGGCUAUUAGUACGAUUCACAUGAAUUAGCCGGCUAAUGCAUCUGGUUUUAAAAAGAUCGAUGCGUAUAAAUGGGCAGGAAAAAGAAAGUGAUCCGUUUUGUAUCGAUCCGGUCGUAGUACGUGUGCACGGCUGUAAACGGGGGACAAAAGCGAUAUCAGGCUACGGAUAGAUGUCUUGCCCUUUAUUUUUGAGACAAUCGAUACUUUCGAAUCGAUACGUCGGCUCAGUUUCUUUUCCAGCCUCCUUAUCAUUCGCCUGCGUCCGUUUUUUUUUUUUUCCCGUAAUCGGACUCGUCGCUGCUAAUUUAUCAUUUUUGAACGAUUCAGUUGUGUACAUUUUGAAACUAGGCCAAUGACAAUUAACUGGGAUCUCUAAAUUAACGGCAGCUAUUCGAAUUAUCGAUAAUUAUUAAUCAAUAAAUUCGUUAUAUCGCAAUAAA